ACGGGAGGCAGCAGUGGGGAAUUUUGGACAAUGGGCGAAAGCCUGAUCCAGCAAUGCCGCGUGAGUGAAGAAGGCCUUCGGGUUGUAAAGCUCUUUUGUCAGGGAAGAAACGGUGAAAGCUAAUAUCUUUUGCUAAUGACGGUACCUGAAGAAUAAGCACCGGCUAACUACGUGCCAGCAGCCGCGGUAAUACGUAGGGUGCAAGCGUUAAUCGGAAUUACUGGGCGUAAAGCGUGCGCAGGCGGUUUUGUAAGUCUGAUGUGAAAUCCCCGGGCUCAACCUGGGAAUUGCAUUGGAGACUGCAAGGCUAUAAUCUGGCAGAGGGGGGUAGAAUUCCACGUGUAGCAGUGAAAUGCGUAGAUAUGUGGAGGAACACCGAUGGCGAAGGCAGCCCCCUGGGUCAAGAUUGACGCUCAUGCACGAAAGCGUGGGGAGCAAACAGGAUUAGAAACCCGGGUAGUCCCAU
rnacentral:rRNA from 1 species